AGCAAUGAUAACAUUGAGAAUGGCCUAAGUGGUAAUUUAGUGUGUGUAUAUGUGUGUGUGUGUGUGUGUAUACAUAUACAUACAUACAUACAUACCUACAUACAUACAUACAUACAUA
rnacentral:miRNA from 14 species